CUCCCAAACCCCUGUGAACAUACCUAUUUGUUGCCUCGGCGGUGCCUGUUCCGACAGCCCGCCAGAGGACCCCAAACCCUGAUUACAUUUAAGAAGUCUUCUGAGUAAACCGAUUAAAUAAAUCAAAACUUUCAACAACGGAUCUCUUGGUUCUGGCAUCGAUGAAGAACGCAGCGAAAUGCGAUAAGUAAUGUGAAUUGCAGAAUUCAGUGAAUCAUCGAAUCUUUGAACGCACAUUGCGCCCGCUAGUAUUCUGGCGGGCAUGCCUGUCCGAGCGUCAUUUCAACCCUCAAGCCCCCGGGCUUGGUGUUGGGGAUCGGCGAGCCUCCGCGCCCGCCGUCCCCUAAAUCUAGUGGCGGUCUCGCUGUAGCUUCCUCUGCGUAGUAGCACACCUCGCACUGGGAAACAGCGCGGCCACGCCGUUAAACCCCCAACUUCUGAACGUUUGACCUCGGAUCAGGUAGGAAUACCCGCUGAACUUAAGCAUAUCAAUAAGCGGAGGAA
rnacentral:rRNA from 1 species